CACGUAGGGCGCAAGCGUUGUCCGGAAUUAUUGGGCGUAAAGAGCUCGUAGGUGGUUUGUUACGUCUGCUGUGAAAACCUAGGGCUUAACCCUGGGCUUGCAGUGGAUACGGGCGGACUAGAGGUAGGUAGGGGAGAAUGGAAUUCCUGGUGUAGCGGUGAAAUGCGCAGAUAUCAGGAGGAACACCGGUGGCGAAGGCGGUUCUCUGGGCCUUACCUGACACUGAGGAGCGAAAGCGUGGGGAGCGAACAGG
rnacentral:rRNA from 1 species